CACACACAGGCCGGGCGGUCGAGCACCUCCUCAAGUGAGAUGGGCGGCGAGGCCCUACCAUCUCCCGGUGAUGACUUGCCGGCACACCCUGCAGAUUCACCUCUCACUCGCACCACGACCGCAGCUUCACUCCCGUGUGCCACCCUCGGCUGCCGCGCCAUGGCCUGCGCUCAGCGGCUGCGGGUGGAGCAGCUGGGUCGAGGAACUUUGCCUCGACAGUACAACAUCACACUCUGCUGUCGGUCGUGAGAAGAGCUGCGUGCAGGCCACCCCGUGUCCGCCCUCGAUCCAUCUUAGUCAUCUCCCUCUCAUCCCCUCUCUCUCUCUCUGGUCUGUGUUUCUGUGUGCAGGGAGUUGGAGGAGAUAGAGCAGGGGAGUGGGAGGCCCUUCCAUGGCAAAUUCGUUGGCAUCUUCCAUGGAGAUUGCGACCUCUCUUGAUUUUUGCUUGAGGAUUUCUCCUCUGGAUCUGUCCACUGUAGUUCUUGUAUAGCGGCGUCCUUUUUUCUAGUGUUCCUCAAUGUUGAUGCAUGUGUUUAAUAACCCACUCAUACGAAUUCUAGAAACAAGCUUCAGUACAAGAAAAAUGGGUCGUUCAGUUCAAUUCUGAAUUAUAGGUGUGUGUAAACACAUCCUCCUUACACAGUAACUAAUUAACUAUGAUACCAUGUUCAGACUUCUAUAAAUCCCGAAACUAUGCAGAGUUAGGAUUGUUACUACCUUGUUUCUUACUAUUGAUUCAUUUUUAUACUAUAUUGAGAUGGUACAUGUAGUUGGACAUCUGAAUAUACUGGUGAUUGCUUCUUGCUGCCUCUAUUUUUAUCAUGAUUUGGUGUGUGCACAGCAGGAGUGUUUUUGUUCCUAGAUCAGUUGCUCAACAACAGAAUUGUGUAUCGCACAGUACAUGUAUUACUACUAUGAAGGUUCAGAAAUAAGAACUCAAAGAAGUAUUGACAACAUAGCUACUGUAUAUUCAAGGAGUCGGGUUUUGCUCCUGCAUCAUCUCAUCUCCUCCGUUCAGCAAAAGCCUCGAGAUAAGUUCACACAUAUGGUUUUGUUUCUUUCUAUAAUUCUUGAGUCCAAACUCCUUCGUUUUUUGUUCCUGAGAAAUUAAAUAAACCUGUAGAAGUUUGGGGUAUAAAAUUCUGUAAGUUCGAAAUCGGGAAACUGGUAAGUGCAGACAAAAUUAAAUCUGUCAAAGAAUUAUUGUAGGCAAGUUUAGAAGUUUGGCUUCGUGAGAAAAAAGUAUGAUUUUCUAUCAGUAUUUUGUAUGAUUCAUUUGCCUCAGCUAAAAAUAAAAAAUUAGACAAAAAAUAAUUUUGUUUACUGCCGGUAAUGCUCUCUCCACCCUACUGUCUGUUUUGGUUGAUGAACAAGUACGGGCAAAAUAUCUUGUAUAGGGCAAGUUCUUGUAUUAGUGCCAGGCAAGUUCAAAAAAUAAACCGCGGCAAGUUCAAAAUGAAAAUGUGGCAAAAACAAAAAGGGAGUUCGGAAGUAGGAAUUUGGAUGUAUCUGCCAUUUUUCUUUUUUGUGCUCAGGUUUACAUGAAAAUACACUUUUAGUUUCAGGAAUUGAAGAACUUUUUAGGAAGAAUUAGCCUUUUGAGCUACUGUUGAUGGCUGGCAUUUGUGCCCCGAAGUACGAGUUUGGAAGGCCAGUAAGUUCUACUUCUGGCAUAAGCCAACAGAGCAUCGGUCGAAGAAGGCCGAGGCACCUCGUGCCAGCUCCGAGCAUCACCGGAGUCCCUACCUGUUCUUCCACCGCCCCCGUGCACUCACCGUCGAGCCUAUCCAUGCACAGCUCUAGCAUUGAUGAGCUUCAGGCUUGUCGUUGUUCAUGCAGAUUAAUUCUUUGUUAAUUGCUAUUGCACAUUCAGUAAAUGUAGCCUUUGUCUUCUCAGUGAAGUUUUAUUGUGAAGAUUUUUUAAUGCACACCGAAACCAGAUUGUCUGCUGUUACAUGUGCAUCAUAUGCGUAUUUUUCCAUCGAGAAACCUCAUCAUA